CCUACGGGAGGCAGCAGUAAGGAAUAUUGGUCAAUGGGCGCAAGCCUGAACCAGCCAUGCCGCGUGCAGGAAGACGGCCCUAUGGGUUGUAAACUGCUUUUGAACAAGAGAAAACCUCGGUACGUGUACCGAGCUGAUAGUAUUGUUAGAAUAAGCAUCGGCUAACUUCGUGCCAGCAGCCGCGGUAAGACGAAGGAUGCAAGCGUUAUCCGGAUUCAUUGGGUUUAAAGGGUGCGUAGGCGGCCUGAUAAGUCAGUGGUGAAAUCUCUCAGCUUAACUGAGAAACUGCCAUUGAUACUGUCGGGCUUGAGUACAGAUGAUGUGGGCGGAAUAUGACAUGUAGUGGUGAAAUACUUAGAUAUGUCAUAGAACACCGAUUGCGAAGGCAGCUCACAAAACUGUAAACUGACGCUGAGGCACGAAAGUGCGGGGGAUCAAACAGGAUUAGAUACCCUGGUAGUCCGCACCGUAAACGAUGAUUACUCGUUGUUGGCAAUAUGACCGUCAGCGACCAAGCGAAAGCGAUAAGUAAUCCACCUGGGGAGUACGCCGGCAACCGGUGAAACUCAAAUGAAUUGACGG
rnacentral:rRNA from 1 species